rnacentral:misc_RNA from 1 species
UUUUUUUAUUUUUAUAUUUUUUAUUUUGAAAAUGUUUUAAAAGAAAAAUAGAUGUUAAAUAUUGGGUUUCCUUUUUCAUAUUUGUGUUCGUUUAAAACACAGAUAAGGUUCUCUUCAUAAUAUUAGGGUGUUAUUCUCUCAUUUUUGGGGCUUUGUUUUUUCCCCUUAGUGGGAUUUUAUUAUUAUUUUUUUUUUGUUAUAUUUGAAUG